AUCGAUAAAUUUUGUGUCUAUUUUUAAAUAAAUGUAUAUUAGCUUGAUUUGACUUUGUUAUAAUUGUAUUUGGUUUGGUCUAAAUGUCUCGUCAGUGUGAUAUGGAGUCGAGUUCUUCAUUGAAUUUAAUAAAGGCUUUAGAGAAGCGUAGAUUAAAAGAUAGUUUUGAGAAGAAGCGUCUCAAAGAUGACAUGAAAGCGAAGGAAACUCCUGAAGAGAAAAGGGUUCGUCGUUUAAAAGAAAGAGAAGCGAAGGAAAUGCGUCGCCGUGAAAGGAUGGGAUGGGAUACUGAAUACCAGCAUUACACUGAUCAAGACAAUCCAUUUGGAGAUUCAAACUUAACUUCUACAUUCGUUUGGACGAAAAAAUUAGAAAAAGAUGGUCUGCGUAAUGUAUCGACAGAAACUGUUGAUAUUUUAUCACGCCAAAAGCUUCUGGAAAACAAACUUGAACUUGAAAAAGUAAAAAAACGAAGGUUAGAGCGCGAACUAGAGAAGCAAGUACGUGAAGAACAAUCUGUUUUGCAGCAACGGGUUAAAGAAGCUGCACAGUUUCAGGAAUGGGAGUUGCAAGAAGAUCAGUUUCAUUUAGAGCAAGCUCGUCUACGGAGUGUUAUAAGAAUACAAGAUGGUCGGGCUAAACCAAUUGAUUUGUUAGCGCAAUAUUUGUCAGGUUUCAAACCAGAAGAUACAAAUGAAAUACAAAUGCACGAGCCGUAUGUUCUGUUAAAUGGCUUGAGCUUAAAAGAUCUUGAAGAUUUAUUAAUUGACAUUAAAAUAUAUGUGGAACUAGAUAAAGGCAAAAAUACAGAUUUUUGGAAUGAUAUGACAGUAAUUGUGGAAGACGAAUUGUUUAGACUAAGAAAGAAUACGAACAAUUCUCUUGAAAACGGAACAUGUGGGCGUAGAGAAGGAAUUCAUGACUGCGUAGCUAAAGAUGUCGCUGAAAUUUUUCGGAAGAAGAAUGCAAAGCAAUUAAAUGAGUUACGGUUCAAAAUAGAAAAUAAAAUAAAAUCUAGAUCAGACGGUGUAGACAUUAGUUACUGGGAAAGUCUACUUUCUCAGUUAAAAGCACAUAUGGCUCGAGCUCGUUUACGUGAUAAACAUCAAGAGAAUUUACGACAAAAACUAAAUCUUCUUAAAAAUAAAUCGGAAGAAAAUGACAAUUCGGUUGCUAUGUUAACAUCGAAUAUAAAUGAGUGUGUAGCUUCUUUUAUUGAGACAGGAAGUAAUGUUGAUAACGACCUGAAAACUGAUACAAACACUUUACAAACGUUCUUUGAUUUAUACGAAGACGGUCGGUAUUCUCCAAAAUAUAUAUCAAGCCUUGAGGACGAUAACAAUUUACCAAUUGUCACAGAGGAAGAAAACUAUAUUGGAAUAGAAUUAUUACGUACUGAAUCGUUAAACAAUAAAUCACACAAAGAGUCCUUUACUGUUGAAGAAAGAAAUAUGUGCAAAGCAAUGCGAAAAGAUAUGGGAAAAGAUGAGGCUGAGUUCUCUGUCGAAGUGCCCUUAGAAGUAGUUCAAGUGGCAUCUGAUAAGUAUAGACCUCGUAAACCCCGUUACUUCAAUCGUGUGCAUACUGGUUUUGAAUGGAAUAAGUAUAAUCAAACACAUUAUGAUAUGGACAAUCCUCCACCCAAAAUAGUUCAAGGAUAUAAGUUUAAUAUUUUUUAUCCAGAUUUAAUUGAUAAAAAUGUAACUCCACAAUAUUUUUUGGCAAUUCACAAGUCUCAUCUUUAUAUAUAUAAAUCUUCUGACCGUGUGUUUGCAUUUGAACUGCUCCUAAACGGAUGGACCGAUUUUGAUGAAAUUUUGUGUGUAUGUUCAAGGAGAUUCGGGAAUGGUUUAGAUUUACAAUUUGGUCCACUGGAAAAUGUUUUUUAAAUUAUUUUUUAAUUUUUAAUCAAUUGUUAAUUUUGAAAUGUUUGACCGAUAGAUGGCGCUACCAUCGCAGUAUCCAAUAUUCAAACCUUUAAUUGGCGUAAACGUGCAUUGAACAAAACGAUGCCAAAGUAAAAGGCGACAUCUGUGGAUCAAGUUUUUAUAUUGUGGACAGAGUUGUUCGUUCUUAAGUAAUAACUUGGGUGUUUCAAUACGUCUAUGGGUAGCUAUAACAUUUUUUGCUUGCAUUUUCAAACUGAUCCUUGCUGAAAAAUAAUAAAAUUGCUAAAUAUUGGGAAUGGUAGAAUAGAACUGCAAUCAAAUACAAAAUAAUAAGAAUAUACCACGGGCAUCCCAAAAGACUGAUGCCAUAACCUUGCCAGCCGAUUUUUUUUUGUCUUUCCACGCUUGAGAACCGUUUCCUAAUAUGCAGUCCACCAGGCUGACAAUCGAUUGGACUCGAUUGAUUUCACUGAUGCACAGCCCAAAUUCAAUAGUAUUUUUACCCCAAAAACCAAUUCUUUCUUAACGCAUGAAAUGCUUUUUGAUUCACUUUUAUUGCUUCAUCAAAAAUGCGAUUAUUCAUUAACUAAUACAUAUAAUCUAAUAGAAAUCAUAUAGAUGGUAUUAGUAGUACUACCUAUGUAUCAGCUACAGUAAAACGUAGGCGGUAUAGUAUAAAAUAAAAUAUAUUACUAUUCGCAGAACAGCCCCAAUGUUUACAAAUUUAUUGUAACGAACCCUGAACACGGAGAGUAUACCUCAGCAAGUUAUAUAUACUUGUAAGAAGCAGGGGCGGUAAAAAGCUUCGUUACAACUUAAGUAUUAAAAAACAAAGAUUGUCACCCCUAUCAUGCAUUUCGAUUACGUUCCCGCUCUACGCUCCGCCGGAGUCGAAAUUAGGUAUCAUGCGUUGCGAUCGGAUUGAAAGAAGAAGAGGAAGAGCUAUAACUCUUUCGAAAUCAGCUGUUUGCUUUGAAAUAUGUGAAACUGGAACAUAACAAAGCAAAAAUACACAAAUUACUGCUGUUCAAAGAAAAUAAAUAAAAGUAAAAUUUUUAUAUUGUUAUUAUUUUUAUUAAACGCAACUAUGGAAUCUUUAUCCGCGGCGAUAUUACUGGUUGAGGAGGAGAGCAGCGCAUCUCAGAAUGCUGGGGUGAGAAUUGAAAGGAGAAGAUUACGAGAUAUGUGCGAUCCCUUCCAGAUGAAUGACGGGCUAUUCAAAAAAACUUCCGUCUGAAUAAGGACGCAUUCAAGUAUGUCCUAGAUACGUUGGCGGAAGAAACGACGGCAAGUAAAUUUGAUGCUACCUCUUUCCAAAAAGCCUGCACAUCUUCCUUAGGACGCUGGUGGAAACCGUUGGCUAUAUCUAGCUUACUCUCCAUCAUAUCGGCCAAUUUUCCAUAUUGCUCUGGUGUUGUUGUUUUUGACCUGAAAGCAUAUCAAAAAACAUCACUAAAACUGGAAAUAUCGUAUGUUUUACAACUUUUAAAUACAAGUUUUACUUACAUUUUUAGAAAAUUAAAAAAAAAUCACGCAAAUAAUAAAAUUUUCGCAGCAAAAUAAAAACACAAAAACUUCUCCGCCAACAAAAUAGCAACUUAGCAAAACGGAGCUACGAUCGAAAUGCAUGAUAGGCAGAAUUGUAAAUUUCGAAGUUGAACUGAACGGGAACGGAACGCAUGAUACCAAAGUCGCCAAACGGAGAAAAUUUCAAUCCAAGUCGAAAUGCGUGAUAGGGGUGUGUGUUUAUAAUUGUUAAAUAUUUUUUGUUUACCUAUAAACUUCACGUUUGUACAUCACAAAUUUUGAAAUGUGAUGUCACAAAGCUUUUGAUCCCCCUGCCCCUUGUCACACAAUGUCACUUCUAAAUAUACCAAACAUUCCACAUAUAUUUUAAACCCUCCAGUUCUGGAUGGUUUUGAA